GACGAACGCUGGCGGCGUGCUUAACACAUGCAAGUCGAACGGAAAGCCCUGCUUUUGUGGGGUGCUCGAGUGGCGAACGGGUGAGUAACACGUGAGUAACCUGCCCUUGACUUUGGGAUAACUUCAGGAAACUGGGGCUAAUACCGGAUAGGAGCUCCUGCUGCAUGGUGGGGGUUGGAAAGUUUCGGCGGUUGGGGAUGGACUCGCGGCUUAUCAGCUUGUUGGUGGGGUAGUGGCUUACCAAGGCUUUGACGGGUAGCCGGCCUGAGAGGGUGACCGGCCACAUUGGGACUGAGAUACGGCCCAGACUCCUACGGGAGGCAGCAGUGGAGAAUAUUGCACAAUGGGCGGAAGCCUGAUGCAGCAACGCCGCGUGCGGGAUGACGGCCUUCGGGUUGUAAACCGCUUUCGCCUGUGACGAAGCGUGAGUGACGGUAAUGGGUAAAGAAGCACCGGCUAACUACGUG
rnacentral:rRNA from 1 species